CAUAUGUCCAAUAGGGACAUUUUUUCAUUCUUUUAUUCCUUAAAUUCGAUUCCUUCUUUCUUUCCUUUUCCUGCUCAUUUGACCCCAGAUUUUGUGCAACCUCCAUCCACCCUGGACAGUGUAAGCACCUCUCUGCUCAUUUGGGUUCAAUUUUUGACUAGGAGGGAGUUGUUCCAUGACAUUUUAACUGGAACUAAUGCUAAGGCUGGGGUUGAAAUAUACGCUCCCCAAUUUUUUGCUCGCCAACUUGGUUUUGGCCAAACUUGGCCUGUUCCUCCUUGUUACUCUAAAAAUUUAACAGAUCGCUUUCACACUAUUAAUAGGACAGAGACACAAGUUAUAGAUGCUCGCAACCUUCUUUUGACGAGCAAGAUUUCAUUAGUCCCCUUCAAUUCUAGCUGUGCCAUCCAUCCCCUUUUUGAGCAACUCUGAUCAUCAGUGAAGCGCAGAUUAUUUGCAACUGAUAUCAAUCGUGCUUUUCAUUUACUGGAUCAGUCAAACACUUCUUCCACUUCUCCUAUUUUGGUCACUCCUGUGUCCAUUAGGAAUCCUUCCUCCCUCGUUCGUGCUAAACAAUCUAUUCGUCCAUCUACUUUUCUACCUGCCAAGGCUACUGCAGCUAAGAGUGUCUUGAGCUGCAAACGGCCAGCUU
rnacentral:lncRNA from 1 species